CAGAGACACAUCCGGAGGAUCGGGAGAGGCUCACAUCCUCCCCAGUUUGGAAUACUUCUCACAGCAGUUUGAUAUGAACAAAGCAGCCAGAAAAAGUUUCUGUUUCUUUGUUUACAGCAUUUGGUGACCCCCAAAGGGCUCCCCAAGUAGCUCACAUACAAAACAAGAUGGAAACACCCACUCUCAUUCAGACAUGUUGGCAGCACCAGCCUAACCGCAUGACAUGCAGCCCGAGACUGGGCACUGAGGAUCCUGGGUCCUCCUGGAUCCACUGGGUUCCUGCCAUGGAGAGUCUUCCCUUCGCAGCAGCUGCGAAAGAGAAGGAUAGGCAAGAAGGAGCUGACUUGGCCAUUCGGCCAUUUCAGGUGCCCCUGCGAUGCUGCCCUGACUUGGCAAAUUUGUUGUUGUUUAGUCGUUUAGUCAUGUCCGACUCUUCGUCCCCUGGCAAUUCCUCCAGGGCCCAUUUGCUCCACCCCCAUUGUUCUGAGGUCCAGCGCCAAGGGCCUUCUGGCGGUUCCCUUAUUGAGAGAAGCAAAGCUACAGGGAACCAGGCAGAGGGCCUUCUCAGUAGUGGUGCCCACAUUGUGGAACGCCCUCCCAUCAGAUGUCAAAGAGAUAAACAACUACCUAAAAUUUAGAAGACAUCUGAAGGCAGCCCUGUUCAGGGAAGUUUUUAAUGUGUGACAUUUUAAUGUAUUUUUCAUCUUUGUUGGAAGCUGCCCAGAGUGGCUGGAGAAACUAUUAUUAUUGUUAUUGUUAUUGUUGUUGUUGUUACUGCUGAACUGCUGUUUGCCCAGGCUCAGCCUCGCCUCUCCGUCCACACGUUUCCUUGCACUGUGCCCGGCAUUUGUGGCCAGUCAAGAUUCUGCCCGUUCUGAACAGAGCAGAUGCUGCUGGGGACGUAACACCGCCAUGACGGGUGAGGGCACAGUGUGAUGCCAAAUGCGCCCUCUGGUGUGAUAUCCUGAGGGCGGGCAGAGGCAGAAGCCACCGGCGGAAAUGGCGCUGCCACCAUGCUGGGCCCAGUGGUGCCAUCCUAGGAGAUACGCAAAGAGUAGGAUCAGGGUUGAAACGGUGGGUGUGAAACACACAAGUUUGGUAGGAUUGCUACAUUUUACAACAGAGCCAUUGAUUUAAACAGAGCAAAAUGAAAAGGUGAAAAGGAAAACGUAAAAUAGAAUCCUAGAAUAGGGUCCCGUGGGUCAUCUAGUCUGACCCCGCAAUGCAGGAAUCUCAGUGAAAGCAUCCAAGACAGAUGGCCGUCCGACCUCUGCUUCAAAACUUCCCAGGAAGGAGAGACCACAAAAUGGGCAGGUUAAAUGCUUAAGUUGUGGGGGAACGAUUCCCAGGGCGACGAUUCCCAGGGGGAAACUGUGAGAAGGGCUGGACAGAGGAAUCCCAAGGGGACAGCAGAAGGGUAAGGCCCAUAGAGGAGGAGGAGCGGGUAAGGGAGGCAGAACUAGGAAGUCCAGAAGUGACCCCCGAGGCCGAGCAGCCACAGGAACCAGAGCCAUGACCAAGUGGACCAGCGGCGCCCAACCCAAUGGCCCCGUCACAGCCGGCAGCCACAGAACAAGAGCCAGAAGCAGGAUCCCCUAACGAGAGACACCCGAGACCACAACGCAUACGUAGGCGACCAGCAUACCUCAAUGCUAACCUUCUGGGUGCAACGGGAGCUUAGAGGGGAGGGGUGUUAUGUAUUAAGCUUGGAUCCUUGAACAAUAGGCAAGUAGGAUCGUAGAAUGCAACAACUGAUUGGCUUGCAGGAAAAGACCAAUCAGGCUCCAGGAGGAAGUUAAUCAGCCUAUUAGGCUAGUAGGAUCGUAGAAUGCAACAACUGAUUGGCCUGCAGGAAAAGACCAAUCAGGCUCCAGAAUGGAAGCAGAAUCAGCCAAUCAGACGGGACUCAUUGUGUAAAUAAUGUAUACAAAAGCCUGAGGUUUGGGGGGGCAAUUCAAUCACUGUUUUACAAGCUGCAAUAAAGAGCAUGAAAUCAC